AGAGUUUGAUCAUGGCUCAGAUUGAACGCUGGCGGCAGGCCUAACACAUGCAAGUCGAGCGGUAGCACAGAGAGCUUGCUCUCGGGUGACGAGCGGCGGACGGGUGAGUAAUGUCUGGGAAACUGCCUGAUGGAGGGGGAUAACUACUGGAAACGGUAGCUAAUACCGCAUAACGUCGCAAGACCAAAGUGGGGGACCUUCGGGCCUCAUGCCAUCAGAUGUGCCCAGAUGGGAUUAGCUAGUAGGUGGGGUAACGGCUCACCUAGGCGACGAUCCCUAGCUGGUCUGAGAGGAUGACCAGCCACACUGGAACUGAGACACGGUCCAGACUCCUACGGGAGGCAGCAGUGGGGAAUAUUGCACAAUGGGCGCAAGCCUGAUGCAGCCAUGCCGCGUGUGUGAAGAAGGCCUUCGGGUUGUAAAGCACUUUCAGCGGGGAGGAAGGCGGUGAGGUUAAUAACCUCAUCGAUUGACGUUACCCGCAGAAGAAGCACCGGCUAACUCCGUGCCAGCAGCCGCGGUAAUACGGAGGGUGCAAGCGUUAAUCGGAAUUACUGGGCGUAAAGCGCACGCAGGCGGUCUGUCAAGUCGGAUGUGAAAUCCCCGGGCUCAACCUGGGAACUGCAUUCGAAACUGGCAGGCUAGAGUCUUGUAGAGGGGGGUAGAAUUCCAGGUGUAGCGGUGAAAUGCGUAGAGAUCUGGAGGAAUACCGGUGGCGAAGGCGGCCCCCUGGACAAAGACUGACGCUCAGGUGCGAAAGCGUGGGGAGCAAACAGGAUUAGAUACCCUGGUAGUCCACGCCGUAAACGAUGUCGAUUUGGAGGUUGUGCCCUUGAGGCGUGGCUUCCGGAGCUAACGCGUUAAAUCGACCGCCUGGGGAGUACGGCCGCAAGGUUAAAACUCAAAUGAAUUGACGGGGGCCCGCACAAGCGGUGGAGCAUGUGGUUUAAUUCGAUGCAACGCGAAGAACCUUACCUGGUCUUGACAUCCACAGAACUUUCCAGAGAUGGAUUGGUGCCUUCGGGAACUGUGAGACAGGUGCUGCAUGGCUGUCGUCAGCUCGUGUUGUGAAAUGUUGGGUUAAGUCCCGCAACGAGCGCAACCCUUAUCCUUUGUUGCCAGCGGUCCGGCCGGGAACUCAAAGGAGACUGCCAGUGAUAAACUGGAGGAAGGUGGGGAUGACGUCAAGUCAUCAUGGCCCUUACGACCAGGGCUACACACGUGCUACAAUGGCAUAUACAAAGAGAAGCGACCUCGCGAGAGCAAGCGGACCUCAUAAAGUAUGUCGUAGUCCGGAUUGGAGUCUGCAACUCGACUCCAUGAAGUCGGAAUCGCUAGUAAUCGUAGAUCAGAAUGCUACGGUGAAUACGUU
rnacentral:rRNA from 1 species